CCGCCACUGCGCGGUCUUAGCCGCCGCGGUCAAC
rnacentral:sRNA from 1 species